AUGAGGGAUGCUCAACAGGGGAAGAUCAAGUUCAACAGAGAGAACGACGCGCUGACAAAAGCCCUCGGGAAUCCUGAACACGGAGGACGUGUACGAGGCAUGGGGCACAUUCCGUGGAAAAUAGGGUUCCCCCAGAACGAUGACCCGUACGGUUACAGAAGCCGUAAGAGAAAGAUGGAUCAGGAAGCAGAUGUUGUGGCGCGGUUGGCAUCGGAAAUGGAGGUGAUGAAGAAAACCAUGAGUGUACUAGUAGCCGAAAGAGAUGCAGCUCGGGUGCAGCAUGAAGAUCAUCCAGCGGAUCUCGGAAGCCAGCAGCGGAAAAGCAGCGUGGCUUCCACGGAG
rnacentral:rRNA from 1 species